rnacentral:rRNA from 1 species
UACGAAGGGGGCUAGCGUUGCUCGGAAUCACUGGGCGUAAAGGGUGCGUAGGCGGGUCUUUAAGUCAGGGGUGAAAUCCUGGAGCUCAACUCCAGAACUGCCUUUGAUACUGAGGAUCUUGAGUUCGGGAGAGGGUGAGUGGAACUGCGAGUGUAGAGGGUGAAAUUCGUAGAUAUUCGCAAGAACACCAGUGGCGAAGGCGGCUCACUGGCCCGAUACUGACGCUGAGGCACGAAAGCGUGGGGAGCGAACAGG